rnacentral:rRNA from 1 species
AGUGAACGCUGGCGGUAGGCCUAACACAUGCAAGUCGAACGGCAGCACAGGAGAGCUUGCUCUCUGGGUGGCGAGUGGCGGACGGGUGAGGAAUACAUCGGAAUCUACUCUGUCGUGGGGGAUAACGUAGGGAAACUUACGCUAAUACCGCAUACGACCUACGGGUGAAAGCAGGGGACCUUCGGGCCUUGCGCGAUUGAAUGAGCCGAUGUCGGAUUAGCUAGUUGGCGGGGUAAAGGCCCACCAAGGCGACGAUCCGUAGCUGGUCUGAGAGGAUGAUCAGCCACACUGGAACUGAGACACGGUCCAGACUCCUACUGGAGGCAGCAGUGGGGAAUAUUGGACAAUGGGCGCAAGCCUGAUUCAGCCAUACCGCGUGGGUGAGGAAGGCCUUCGGGUUGUAAAGCCCUUUUGUUGGGAAAGAAAUCCAGCUGGCUAAUACCCGGUUGGGAUGACGGUACCCAAAGAAUAAGCACCGGCUAACUUCGUGCCAGCAGCCGCGGUAA